rnacentral:misc_RNA from 1 species
UACCAAUCCAGAUUCAACAAC